rnacentral:rRNA from 1 species
AUUGAACGCUGGCGGCAGGCCUAACACAUGCAAGUCGAACGAGUGGCGGACGGGUGAGUAAUGUCUGGGCAACUGCCUGAUGGAGGGGGAUAACUACUGGAAACGGUAGCUAAUACCGCAUACGAUCAGAUGUGCCCAGGUGGGAUUAGCUAGUUGGUGGGGUAACGGCUCACCAAGGGGACGAUCCAUAGCUGGUCUGAGAGGAUGACCAGCCACACUGGGACUGAGACACGGCCCAGACUCCUACGGGAGGCAGCAGUGGGGAAUAUUGCACAAUGGGCGCAAGCCUGAUGCAGCAAUGCCGCGUGUAUGAAGAAGGUUUUCGGGUUGUAAAGUACUUUUAGUAGGGAGGCGUUACCCGCCGAAGAAGCACCGGCUAACUCCGUGCCAGCAGCCGCGGUAAUAC